AAAAAUAUUUUAAAGUCCAUCCUUAAUGGUAUUUGAUUUUCUGAUAGCAAAAGACCUCAGUUUCUCAUUCUUCUAUUAGAAUAACAUAAUGCUUAUGAUUAUAAUAAACACGGCACAUAAAUGUUUCCCUGUGUUGUUCUGACACCAUCAAGUUUCACUGAGGGAGUUUCUGUACAUUUCAAUGGAGACUCCUCUGAGAGGUGUGGCCUCUGAUGGUCUCCGUACAAGGCAGUACUCAUAGUUUUUCCCCGGGGGUCCUGCAUAGCAUCCACUACAGACAGUUGAGGCCCCACCAGCCCAGGCUGUUGCCAAGGACGCUGCUUUAUAACACAGCUUUAUAACAAUUUGUGCUUCAAAACACAGAUUGACUGGAUGUCUUUCCAUGGGGACACUCAGGUCAACCUCUUACUGGCUGUAAACACCAAUCUACGGUGAAUGAAUUACAGACUGUUUAAAAGAGCUUCAGGAAAGGGGCACCUGGGUGGCUCAGUCGGUUGAGUGUCUGACUCCGCCUUGGGUCGUGAUCUCACGGUUCGUGGGUUCGAGCCCCGCGUCGGGCUCUGUGCUGACAGCUCAGAGCCUGGAGCCUGCUUCGGAUUCUGUGACUCCCUCUUUCUGCCCCUUCCCCAUUCACGCUCUGCCUCUGUCUCUCUCAGAAAUAAAUAAGCAUAAAAAAAUAAUUAAAAAAAAAGCUUCGGGAAGUGAAAAGGAGUCUCCAUAUUCAUGCCAUUACUAAUAUUAACAAUUAUUAUCACAAAUUCCCUAUAGGUAAAUAACAGAUAACGGUCUUUGGAGAUUUGCUUAUGAAAUAAUAGGCGCUUAAUACACAUGAUAAGCGAAAACAAAUUUUCAUCGCUGUUCUAAAUAUUCUGGCGGAUCACAGGAAAGGAAGUGUUUACAAAUUUACAAAACGGGCUUUAAGCACCCUUGAAGGAUGACGUUGUGUCCUUGGCCCAUCAAUCAGAGGACCUGUGGCCUUGGGGAGGAGGAGGACCAUCCUAGGAGGGAUGCAGGGAGACAGAGAGUCAGGUGUCGGCUUCUGGUCUCAAAAAUGGUCUCCAGAAGAAGGGAGAUCUUCAAGUCUACCCACAAACAAGUAGAUUAAAAAGAAACUAAAUGAAGAGCUAAUCACUUGGCCCUAAGGAAAGGAUUGAGGCCAUCUUGUCUGUGAAUGAGGGAGUUUUUAAGGGCUUGAAAAGGGAGGCCCGGAGGCCUGGUGAAGCUGGGAGAACCACACCAGGGGGAGGGGACAGUUUCAAAGACAGCUUGGCUUUGCCGUGUGCCCCAGGGAGCUGAGGUGCAGGCAGGCCUGAGCCAGCAGAUUAGCCCUAACUAUCCCUGUCAGUUAGCCUCUGUAUUAUUAGUCUGCUCAGGCUGCCAUUACAAAAUACCACCCACCGGGUGUGGCUUACACAAUUGAAAUUUAUUUCCCACGCUUCUGGAGCCUAGAAGUCCAAGAUCAAGGUGUCACCGAGAUGGUUUCUCCCCAGGCCUGUCUCCAUGGCUUGCGGACGGCCGCCUUCUCCCUGCGUCCUCAGAUGGCCUUCCCUCCAUACAUAAGUGUCUCCCGGGGUCUCUCCUGCUUCUUUCAAGGACACUAGUCAUAGGGGAUUAAGGCCCCACCCUGGUGACCUCAUUUAACCUUAAUUAUCUCUUUAUAGGCCCAGUCUCCAAAAACAGUCACAUUCUGAGGUGCGCUGCAGACCUUGAAGAAGAAAUCUUGGUCAAAGAUGUGCUGUGCCUGGAAAACAGAGCAGCAAGGAGCCUUCAGGGACCAGAGGUUCACUCUCUUCAUUCCAAAGGAAGGGAGUCCUGAAGAAGGUAAGUGGUUUCCUCGGGACUGACACACAGGCAUCUUGGCUCGAAGUGGAAUCUCUUUUUGGGAGAAAGAGACAUGAGCCCACGAAUGAGCUGGGUCCACCUCGGUUUCUUCUUUGGGCUCCCGUGUAGAGAGUAACGUUGAUUUAAGCCCCAAUAAAUGAAGAUGCCUGUCUUCUUCGGGGGAUUUUAAUGGUUGGUAUAAAAAGCCCGCACAUGUUAGGAAUCUGUUGUGAAUGAAUUCGAUUUUCAAGUCUCAAUUAAAACUCCAGAACAGUAGCCAAAGGAGUCAGAAAGGGCCCUGCGCUUAAGCUGAGAAACUUUCCAGCAUCACCGGUGACAGUUUCUCCAGGACCCUUGAAGUCUACACCCACGUGCACCGCUCCUCCCCUCAAUGAGCCACCUGGCCUGAGAAUGCACAGUUUCCAAUGACUCCACCUCCCUGACGUCAGGGAUUGGUUGAGAGGUGGGCACGCCUCAAAGCUGGGCCAAUCAUAGCCCUCUACAGCCUGGCUGUUUUCUCGGACCUGGCCAAUCAGCAUCUCUGCUCAUUAUCUUUUUUUUUUUUGGAAACCGGAGACACCCAUUUUCUCUCUGGUCCUUGAGCAGCUGGGACCCAAAGCCGCAGGAGGGGAUUAAGACAGGCCCUCACUGGGUUUUGGUUACUUGAGUCUCUACAUUUCCUUUUCCUAUUUGCGUUACUUUGAGUUGGGUUUCUGUCACUUGAAACCAAAGUAGACUUUCCAAAAGCAGUAAACUUUUUCUUAGGAAAAUAAGCAUAUGCACAGAAUGCAAAUUUGUCAUAACAUUUAAGGGAAACAUAGACCUCAUCCCUUGAACUCAGUAGGGUCCAGGGACCGCCCCCCUCCCCCUUCCGUGGAAAAAAAAAACAAAACCCUUUCAAUGAAACAGUGGUUAAUAAGGGGCUUGAUUUGAUGAUGGAAUUGCGGCUGGUCUUUCUCUAGCGUCUCCGACUGUUCUGAGGGGCACAGAAUGCGUAAAAAAUACAGCUACUGGCUGUGCAUAAUUCUUAACUCAGAGUGGAAAACAUGGGCUGAGCUGUAAGUGCAGAUAAAUACACUAUUCCUAUAGAAUUUGUAACUCUUCAGCCAUGGGGAAAAAUGAGUCAGAAAUCCAAAACUCCCCUUUGGACUAAUGAAACUGAGACCCUGUGGGACACCUGAAUUGGCCAGGAGAGACAAUCUGUCCCUCCGCAGAGACUCCAUUUUGGUUAGCAACAUCAGAAAUAUUUCCCUACGACCCCCCCCCCCCCGAAAUAUUUCCCCACGAUUCCACGACGACCCAGGUAUUGAUCGCAAGUUUGCUAUUUGAGCUAUGCCUGACUUCCCAGGGCCAGAGGCAGCUCUGAUUUCCUUCUGCCAGCAGAGAUCUUUUCUAACCCAUCAACCUCGUCCAAGUUUUCUAAAAUUCCAUCUCUUCCCGGGCCAGCUUUUUUUUAAUAGCCCAGCUUCUCAGUCCAUGUGCCCCCGUGCCAAACUCCUUAAGUUUCUCUUUUACUCUCCGUAUUUUGCUGAGUCUUAUUACAGGUUCUUGGCUUAGGAACCACAGUCCUCCACUAUUUUCUAUUCCCUGUGGCUUUCCAGAUGGAACUGGUCUGUUCCUCGGGGAUCCAAUAAAUCAGACCCUUUUCUGAUUCUUAACUUUGCGUCGCGCCCAAGCCCGGUUCUGCUGGCCGCCCCCAGUUCUUCCCCUUCAGAGUCCCGGAUGCCCGCGUCUCCACAGCACUCAGACCCAGUCUGUCCUGAUUUCACAUUGCAGCCAUAGGACAUUCUGCCAAGUGACAGGGCACCAGAAGGGCUAAGCCCUUUUUGUUUUCUCCUUGCUAUGGUUUCAUCAGGCAUUAUGUGUGUGCCUGCCUCUGACAACAGGUUCGCAGAUGCUCUUUGGCCUAGAAACUUCUGUUCCCCUAAAGCGGCAGCUGUCGAGAAUGGUAUAUCCCCCACUCGGCUUGCGGCCACAGGCAGGCCGACUUCAGCAGAAUCCACAGGCUCUCAUCGGCCUCAGCUUAAUGAAUAAUCACAAGAAAAACAUGGGUCAGCACUUGCCAAGGGGCAGCUCGGGGAUUGCGUUGGCUCACUCAGGGUCUCCGUGCUUCCCACUUUCUUUAAGCAAGACUUCUUGGCCGCUCUUCCUCAGAAAGUACCGGAAGCGGAGGAAAUUCCCUCUUUCUGGCAUAUGACACCCUCUCAACUUUCCUUCGGGGCUUUUUUUUUUUUUUUUAAUUGAUUUCAUUUAGGCUAUUGCAAUAAAGAGAACACCCACCUCAGCUCCAAAUUUCAGAAAGUCUCAGUAGGGUGGCUUUGUCUUAGACCUUUACAGGGAGGAGUUAAAGCGACAGGUGGGGUGAUUUUACAGUUGCGAUUCUUUCAGUGUGAGGCUUUCUUCAUAGGAGACAGCAGACCAUUUGCUCACAGGCCCCAAAUCCUGAUGUUGUCUGUUUCCCAGGACGCGUUCCCCAGAUAAUUGACUCUGGCUGUCCCCGCCCCCUCCCAGCCCCACGGGAAACCAUGAAACAGAUGUGGUAGCAUGACCACGUGCAAGCCGGGGGCUUUUUGUGCCAGAAGCAAGUGGCUAUUCAUUCCCCUAGGAAGCUCCUAGCAGCUGCCAUGAAGCCGGACGGGGCUCAGUCACAAAAAGUAAUAUGGUCUUAUAUGCAGAGGAGGGGUAUAGUCAGAGAGGGGCCAGAGUGGGUGGAGGCAGUCAGAAAAGCCUUUCCGGGAGAGGGAAAGCGAGGGCCUGUGGACUUCAAAAGACGCACAGUGGCGCAGCGGAUGGUUAGGGCGUGCAUCCUGGAGCCAGACGCUCUGGGUACGAAGCCUGCCUGUGGUUUGCUGGCUGCCUGACUUUGGAAGACAAGUGAUAUAACCUUCUCGUCCUCAGUUUCCUCUAUAGAGGGAAAUCAACGGCAGUACCAGAUUUGUUUGCUAUUGCUAUUUGUUGGCUAUUACACACCCAGGGGCUUAGAGCAACACCCAUCGGUUCAGUCACCGAGUUCUGUGCCUGAAGUCCAGCCUGGCCGUACCUGCACAGCCUCUGCAAGGCUGACGUUAAGCUGUCCCCCAGGCUGAGUUCUCGUCUGGCGACUCUGGGGAGAAAUCUGCUUCUGAGCUCGUUUUCGCCCCUGGCAGAAUUUGCUUCCUUGUGGUGGCGGGACUGAUGUCCCUGUUUCCCUGCUGGCUGUCGCCUGCGGGCCAAUCUGAAGUCCUCAGUGUCCCUCGCCAGGUGGCCCCCUCCAUCUUCAAGUCAGCAGUGGCCCCUCAGAUCCAUAUCAUACUUUGGAUCUUUGAUUUCCUUUUCUUUGAUCAGCCGGAGAAAACUCCCUGCUUUUAAACGGCUCCCGCGAUUAGGUCAGGCACACCGGGAUAACCUGUCUAUCCCAAGGUCAACUCAUCUGGGACCUUAAUUACAUCUGUACAAUUCCUCGACACCAGCACCUAGAUUAACAUUUGGUAGAAUAAUGAGGAGAGGGCGUGUUUACACCAGGGCUGGGAAUCUAAUGGGGCCACCUUGGAAUUCUGCCUACUGAACAUGCCUACUUCUUUUCUUCUUUUUUUUUUCUUUAAUGUUUUUAUUUAUUUUUGAGACAGAGACAGACAGAGCAUGAGCAGGGGAGGGGCAGAGAGAGAGGGAGACACAGAAUCCGAAGCAGGCUCCAGGCUCUGAGCGGUCAGCACAGAGCCAGACGCGGGGCUUGAACUCAAGAACUGUGAGAUCAUGACCUGAGCCGAAGUCGGACGCUCAGCCGACUGAGCCACCCAGGCGCCUCCAAGCACAUGCCUACUUCUAAGGAAACCGUGAGGCCUAAGUUAGCACGUGUACGGGGAGUCCCUGGGCCAGACCAAGUAUGUUUCAUGUUUCGGGAAGAGGGAUUUGCAUGCAGUUAACCAGUUGAGUUCCCAGGAUUGAUGAGAACUUCGUGCGGUGAAAGGAGAGCGUUGGGGACUGGGAACAAUGGAACAGCUGACAAACAGCCUCUAGUCCUUGGCCAAAGGACUUCAUUUUGAUAUAACUGGACACAGAAAGUGCCUGUCCUCCUUGACUGGACAACACUGAGAGCCUCCCUGAUUUAGGUCUUUGCUGCAGAAACGGCAGCGAAGACUGGGUUCUGGAACGAGGGAGAAGGGACCCGAAGAUGGCCCUGGGUUAGUCCUCUCAGAUGCCAUCUGUUUGGAGUAUUGACUCUGAGGAGAGUGGAGAGGUUUCCCCCGGCUACAAGUCCAGGGAUGCGGAAACCGAUAUAAAUCAACAGCCCUUCCCAAACCAGUCAAGCAAAGCUCUAAUUGGAAAAGAGAAAUGGAAGUCACACACAGGUCGGGUUGAGGCCCAUUUUCAAACCAAAGGAGGUCAUUUCCUUUCUUAGCCUGGCAUCGCUGGCGGAAGAAUCGGUCAGGGGGCCAAGGCCCUGUUGACUCUGGGAGAAAAGCAAAUGGUUGCCCUCCAGGAGUAAGAACCUGGACUUUUAUCUGCCUUUGCGAGUUGCACUGCCUGCUCCCAAUCAAUCCCAGUGGUCUGGGGCCAGCACGAGAUAAGCAGGAAAGAGAAAAAGAGGUACAGGCCUGGGGGGCUGGACGGGGUGAGAAUAAAGAGAUUGUAUUUUUCAUUCCAUAGAUGCCACGGUGGGAAGAAGCUUUGCCUUCAAAACCUCUUAGAACAGACAGUUCUCAUUUCCAGCUGACUUCUUCAUCUUUCCUGGCUCCUUCUCUCUCCCCCCCCCCCUCCCCUCCCCACUCUCCUCUAUCUGCCUCGGCUGCUGGGUCUUCUCAAAGCUUCCCCCGGAAAAACUUGAGCCAAUUUACUCCCCUUAAACAACUGUCAGGUUUGAAAAGCUGCCCAGUGUCUUCGCUGUGAUUUUCAAAGAGAAACACAGGGCUAGGCUUUCGGCGACAGCAAGUAGGUAGGAGGAGACAGAGAACACAGAUACACACGCACGCUGCUCAGAAAUGCUGAAGCUGUAAUUGUGGGGAGACACAACCUUCCGGAUACCUGAGGAAAUGUCACAAAGAAAGAAAAGCAGGGAGUGGGGAGCUUGCGUUUAUGUGUUAGCUGCAGGAGUCGGGGCAUGGGGAAGGGGGGUGAGGGGUGAGAGGUGAGGGGGGUGGUGGGGCAUGACCCUGUUUGGCCUUGCCUGUCAAGACCAGAGAGUUACAGAGGAGCCAACCGAAGAUAUGUGGGCAAAAGGCCCGGCCACUUCUGACACGUCAGAGGACAGGUCUUGUCUGGCUUGGGUAGCUUGUGGGCAGAGAAGCAGCCCAGCCCACAAACCCAGAAAGCCCAGCCUCCGAGGCAAGGAUAGCAGCGGGGUGAACAGUUACCUGUGCGCCAGGUAAGCCCCGCCUUCCAUCUGUAAGCCCCGCCUUCCAUCUGUAAGCCCCGCCUUCCAUCCAUUACUUUGAAAGGAAAAGGCUUCCUGCGGCUGGCUGGUUUAGGGCUUGAAGUAGUGAAGACUAUACUCCCCUGGCUCUUUGUUCUGUCCUUUUCACUAUUCAAGACAGGUGCCAAAUGUGUCAUCAUGCCUGCUAGGGCCUGGCGUUGGCUCGCUGGCUGUGAGCAGUGACCGACGACCUGACAGAAGCAUUUUCCCUGAUUGCAUUUUUCACUUGGAUUGUGCCACACUUACUUACAUUUUGAGGGAGAAAGCAGUGGGUUGGGGAGGUCUGCAGAAAGCCUGAGGGUCCCAUAGCACGAGACUGUCCACCCGACACGCUAUAUAUCUUUUGCAUUUCAACUUAACCGAACACUGACACCGGAUGAACAAAUACUGAUCGGAAACCUGAGACGUUUAAAACGACGUAUAAGCCCCAUCUUCCACUGAAAUCGAAAAGGAAUGUGUUGGGGGAAGAAGAUGGGGCAUUAUCUACCUUUUAUUGGUAGUGAGCUCACAGUUGUAGAAAGAUACCUUCCGACUUCACAUCAUUACACACACAUGGAGGGCUAGUCCGUGCAAGAGAUAAGCCAUUAGCAAGGUCAUUCACUAUUUCUUCCUUUGCUGUCUGUUCUAAUUAUCUGUCUGCACCGAACUCUGGAGCCUUCCUUGGCCCUGCACGUUGGAAAAGGCAUGCGGGCUUCAUAUUCUUCAGGGCACUCUCUCGCUUUAGGUAAUGGGGGACUGUCUCUCACAACAGAACAAGGCGCGUGAUUCAAAUUCACACUGGCUAAGGAGUCUUCAGGUUCCGUUUUUAACCCUGCCAUGAGUAACAAUGCACAUGUGUAUUAAUAUCAUCGCGUUGGCAUUUACCAUACAGUUCGGGUGAAGGUAGGUACCGAGAUCCACUUUCGGUACUCGAGAGGUUACUCACCCGUUUCAGCCACAAACCUCACUUGAGAGCUCAAGGAUUAAAAGGGAGAGGGAAAUAAAUAUCACAAGGGUCACAUGCCCACCAACCCCACCAAACUACCCUGUUCCCUCUGAAUACAGCAAGGUCACCAGCCCUCAUUGGUCGAUCCGCCGGUAAAUGACCCAAACCAUUUCUGGCCAGUAAAUGCGUCUUUGUGACACACAAGGGUGUAGAAAUCAAGCUCCAAAUCGAUUGCCGGACAGAUUGGUGAGGAAGAUUUUUGCUUUUCUGCCCAAGCAUUCCCCUAGGCUUUCCCUUCAGGACCAAAGUAACAUGAAGAACCUGAAAGCGGCAAAAAUGUGCACACUGUGGGGCUACGUUUGCCAAAGAGCCAGUGACUUUGGUCAAAGUCCCCUCACUUCUCAAAUCUUCAACAGAUGUGCGGACAAUUUUCUAAGGGCAAAAUUUCCUCGUCCAUCGAUCCGGCCGCCCACGUUAUGGACGAAAGAAAGGUAAUGCUGAAAAUGACAGUGUCUGAGGAGCCAUCUCCAAGUGCCUUUUUAUUACGCACAAUUAGCCAUGAAAUGGAGAACCACUUCCUUUCUAAUAUGAAAUCGUCAGCCAUGGAGUUGCAGUUGAAAUUCACCACAGUGAUUUCAGCCAAUAGCUCUCCAUUUUGUGUCUUUUUUACUUUCUGAAAGCCCUCUCUCGGUCCUAGCACCACAGAAUAACGAGCAAACAGUUAAACUGGGCUCGCACUGAGUUUCCACGGCGAUUUAUGGUCUACCCAUCCUCCACAGGGACUCUGAAACCAUCCGAUGACAUCUCAUUUUGAAAUCUCUUGCAUUAAGGAAAGGGAUGGGUGUGGUACAUAAGUGAACUCUGGAUGUGAGUGAUAUUUAGACAAGUCUGUACUUCAAAACAGAGCUCUAACUCAUUUAACUUCCUAGGUCAUUACCUGGGGAUCUCAGUAUCCACCACUCAGCCUUCUCCAAACCACCCCCCCACCCCCCACACCCCCCGCACCUUUUUACAAAUAUAUCCUUCUAAAUUUAAACCUAAAUAUGUUUGGUUUUUUUUUCCCCCUCUGCAUUUUGCUUUGGAUCUUAAAAAUUCCCAGGUAGAUUUUUAUCUCCGUGCAUGAAAGCUUUAAGCCUGGAACCAAGUCUGCCCAAAUCACCACAACACUAAAACCGCCUUCAGGUUCUAGCACUCAGCAGAGGGACAAGCCACGUUUUAAACAGAACCGAUCAGGACACCAACCACUUAGCUUUCUGCCCCAGCUGACCUCUUGUGAUCUCUGACCUGGGCAUUGGAGUAAGUUAAGAGAAUGAGCUGGGUUUUCAGGGAGUAGCAUUGCUUUCUGGAAGGCACCCAGGUCUAAAGCUAAGUGCGGAAUUCGAACCAGCUCUGGAGUUGGCUCUGUCUGGGAACCUAUUCUGGAUCGCCCAAGUCCAGCCGCGGCUUCCCACAUCGGGGCGAGGAUUGAAGGAGGCGGGUAGCCGGCCAGGGAACACAAGUGGGGCUAAGGCGUGAACCAGGAGCCCAAGGGGAGGGGCUCGGAGCAUUUCCUGGCGGGGCUGCAGCACAGAAACUUUUCCUCCCGCCGAGAUGCGCUCGGGGCUGAGCUCUGCCGCCCGCCACGGCUGGUGGGGUCCGGGCAGGACACACCCGCCGCACCCGGGCGGAGCCGGAGCGCUGGGCGAAGCCGCGGCGGGCCGGGGAGGGGGGCGCGGCGGGGCCGGGCAGUGCGCGCGGCGGGCGCCUCGCGCCCGGGGUCCUCACCUGUUCCAGCGGGCCACCUUCCUCCGGUAGUACCGCAGCGCCUCCUGGCUGGCCAGGAGCGAGUCCUCCGGCCCGAGGAGCGGCGGCUCCUCCGGGACGCGGUACAGCGGGUGGGCGUAGAGGGCCUGCAGUUUGGAGCCGCGGCCGCCGCGCCGCUCGGGCCCGGGCCCGGCUCGGGAAAAGUUGCGCGCGGCCGCGCGGGGGGCCGGGGAGGCGGCGGCGGGGGCCGGGCCCGGGGAGGCGGCGCGGCGGGCGCACGGGCAGCCCCGCGGGUGCUCCCGGGGCCGCAGCUGGCGCCGCACCUGGGGCCAGAGGUGGAAGUAGAGGUCGGCGGAGAGCAGCGCGCCCAGCAGCAGCAGGGUCAGCAGGCGGUCCCGGCGCAGCGCGGGCAUGGCCCCGCCGGGGCGCGCGGGCGUCUCCGGGGACCCGGGCGGGCGCUGGGCGCCGAGGGCCGGACGGGGUCGAUGGGGCCGGGGUGCUCACCGCGCGGGAUCGCACCCCUCCCCCUCCUUGAGGGGUGUCGCCCCUGAACUUGGGGACCGGCGGCGCGGGGGCUCGCGGUGUUGCCGGGCGUCUCUUCUCCGCGUGGACUGGAGACCCGGGGAUGGUGCCUCUGGGCCCCUGCUUCCGGCACCUUCUCUCCCCGCGCCGCCGGCCCGGGAGCCCGCGGCAGGGAAGGGCCGGGGGCGCGGGUGCCUGCUGUCCCCCGCGGGCGGACGGGCGGCGGGGCCGGGGGGCGACGGCGAACGGGAGCGCGGGGAGCGGGCGGCGGCGCUCGCCUCCGGGCAGAGGAAGGCGGCUGCGGAGCCUGGGGCGUCUCUCCAGAGGAUGCUGUCGCCUGGCGGCUGCUGCGACUGCUCCCGCGGCUCCUUCUGCGGGCGGCGGGGACGCCCGUGCCCCCGGCUGCUCUGGGCGAGCUCGUCUGCGCGCCCGACUCCUAGAGGCAGAGGUGACGCCGGGCCUCCCCCGCCUGGCCGGGCGCCCGCCCCUCCGCCCACUCGCAGCUGGCACCUGCCUCUGCCGCAAGCUCGCCAGCCAACUCCCGAUGCCUCUGCCGGCUCUGCCCUUGCACCUUGUCACCCAACCCGCUGGGCGCGCCCAUCCCCCUCGCCCCAGGCCUCCCACUUUCCCUGCUCAGGACUCAGUCCAGGCACUUUGGGGAGUCAGGGUGUGUGUGUGUGUGUGUGUGUGUGUGCGCGCGCAACCUUUUAUUUUCAUUUUUAGAAAAAAGACAAUCCCCCGAAAGUCUUUCUCUUGUAAGAUUUACCAGAUGGGUGUGUGUGUGUGUGUGUGUGCGCGCGCGCGCGCGCGUGUGUGCAUUGUCUUUUCCCUCUUUGUAUCUUCCCACCCGGCACAUCCUAGGUCCAUAACAACUACGUGCCAGGGUGCCUGGCACUUAGUAGGCACUCAGGAAAUACCCAGUCAAUGAAAUAAAAAAAGUUGGUCCUUUAAAAAUAAGGCGCCACGUUUACCUAGAAUCUUGGUGAUUUCCUGUUUGGAUGGAGUUUGAUUCCAACUGUGCUUGUCCUUUACAAGGAGGAAAUUUCUCCCGCACUCAAAGAGGGAGGGGCCGCCCGCUGACCCUCCUCUGAACUUUUGCAUUUAGCUCGGUGUGAAAGUAGUCCACCCAAAUGAAUCACUGGAGGGCACAUGUUACGUUUCCUCCUGAUGGCUCGUGAAGUAAUUCAUGCUCCCCCCACCUCAUUUUCCUUUUGGGGAAGAGGGAGGAGGAGGGGGCGGGCCAGGCCUGAACUUCUGGCUCCUCUAUUUAAUGACCUGGGGCGCGCUUGGGGGGACAGGAGAGUGCAGUUCUGAUCAGGGAGGCGGCCCCACCCUGCUGAAUGUUCAAGAAAAUACAUCUUUGCCAUGAGUUGCCUGCCCAGACAGCAAAGAUUCCCACGUAUGUUCAGCUUACUCUUUAACCCUCUCCUUCCCUUGCUGGAGUUAGGAAUCCUCAGACCCCUUUGGCUUGUGGGUUCAGAUCAGCCUUCUUUCCCCUGUGGUUCAGUGGGGGGAGGGAGGGGGGAGGUUCUUGUGUUCUUCGCCAUCCCCUCAUCUGUCACUGAAAGAUAAUAAUAGGACCUACCCCAUAGGGUUGUUGUGUGCUUGAAACAGCCCCCAGCACAUGGUAAAUAAGUGGGAAAUCUUUGUUUGCUAGAAACAGUUAGGACUUCUUGGCUCCUGUAGCACACUGGGUUAAGUGGGAUACAAUUUAUGAGUGGGACAAAAGACAUAAAGUGUGAAAAAGCAGGCCAGACAGGGACCACUUUCAGGAGCACAUCAUGGCCUCAAAGCCCAGUCCUGGUGAGAAAUCCCAAGAUGAUGCCAUGGGCCCCUGCUUCACUCUGCUGCUGGCCUAUGGUGGUGGUGAUUUGUAAGCCUUGUUGAAUGAGCUCCAUCUUUUUAUUGGAAUCAACUUUCAACUGGUCCCCAAUUUCUGAGAAACUUUGCAACUUCUUUUUCUCUUUUUUAAUGUUUAUUUAUUUUUAAGAGAGAGAGAGAGAGAGAGAGAGCCGGAGCGUAAGCAGGGGAGGGGCAGAGAGAGGGAGACACAGAAUCUGAAGGAGGCUCCAGGCUCUGAGCUGUCAGCACAGAGCCUGACGCGGGGCUAACUCACAAACUGCGAGAUUAUGACGUGAGCCGAAGUUGGAGGCUUAACUGACUGGGCCAGCCAGGAGCCCCCCAAUUUUGCAACUUCUGAUGUGUCUGGUUAGGCAUCAUGGCGAGGGGAUGGAGAAACCAGGCACACAUGUGGCAGGACUGCUUUGCCUUUUUCUGGGCUGGCAAAGGAUAUGGGCACGAAGCCAUCGCAGUCUUUCGACUCCAGUUCUCUUCCACUCGUGUGGCCAUGCUUCCUUAGCACUCGCUUGUCUGGCCUCAGUUCAGGGAACAGUAUUUUUAACUUGAUUAGAGAUUAUCUAAGUACAUUUCCCCUGCCCUAUAAAGGUCAAGGGCAAAACUGUAUGUGGAAGUCAGAUGUUAGGUGUGCAUGAGGUCCGGGUGGGGGAGGUGAAAUCCUAGGGGCAGGAUGCCCCUGUCCUCAGUGUCUUUCCCCGCUCUCAGCAAUGGGCCUGGCCCUUCUGUUCCUGCUCUGACUCUCCACAUCUUGGCCCCUGGCUUCCUCACCCACAUUUCUUCAGUCCACACCCAGAUUAUCCCCAACCGCUGUUUGCCAGAGACAUUGUUUCAAGCCUCUCACUGUAAAUCCAGCCCCACCCUUCCGUUCCCACUGCUCUCGACUGCAUCCAGGGUCCCAACUUUUCUUGCUUAGACUCUUGCAAAUAGGCUCCUCGGCUGGUCUCUCAGCUUCCGACAUGGUCCCAUUUCAGUGCCCACCUGUGUUAUGAUGUAAUCAAAACUUCCCAGAGUGAGCUUUCUAGCAUGCAGAUACAGCGAUGAUGUCCUCCUGGUGAAAAGCCUCCAUGGCUUUGUGUCUGGCCUAGGCUACAUGUCAUGACGUGGCCCUUCAUGUUUUGGCUUCUGUUUCCCCUUCCUGCCUCGUCUGCCACCUCUCCUUUAGAUGCCGUUCAGGUUUCAGCCCACAAUACUUUCUGCAAUUCCCCGAGUGCUUCAUGCACUCGUGGACAUGCCUUUAUUCAAAAACUCUUUUGCAUUUCCCUACCCGGAGAAUUGUCUGUCCAAGCUUUGGCCUCCUGUCCCACGUUCCCUGAUGCUUUUCCUCAUGCCCAUUAAGCUCAAUAUCAUGUACUCUCAGGUACCCUUCUAGCUCUUUCCAUACACUCCUAUUAAAGCGUUGACCAGGCUGUGUUUUGUUGUUUGCAUGUGUGAGAGGUUGAACUAUGCACCCCCCCCUUGCCAAUUUAUAUGUUGAAAUCCUAACCCUUAAUACGUCAGAAUGUGAUCUUAUUUGGAAAUAGGGUCAUUGCAGAGGUAAUUAGUUAAGAUGAGGUCAUAUUGGAACAGAGUGGGCCCUUCAUCUAAUAUGACCAGUGUCCUUGUAAAGAAGGGGAAUCUGGACACUGAGCUAGGCACACAGGGGGAUCUCCACAUGAAGCCGAGGGCAGAGGUCAGACUCAUGCUUCUAAAAGCUGCGGGGACCAAAGAUGGCCAACAAACCACCAGAAACUAGGUAAGAGGCAAGCAGCUGAUUCUCCUUCAUGAUUUUUGGUAGAAACCAUCCCUGUCAACAUGUUGAUCUCAGACUUCUGGCCUCCAGAACCAUGAGCCGAUACACUUCCAUUGUUUAAGCUCCCCAGUUUGUGGUCCUUUGUGACAGCAGCCCAAACACACAAUGCCCAUGUCUGCCUUCCUCGCUCAAGUGCAGAGGGAGAGUGUUUCUUAUCUCUGGACCCGAAGCUCUGAGGACAGGGCCCAUCACUUGCAGGAGAAGUUUGCGCUCAGUGAAUGAAGGCAAAUCUUCGAGGGCAGGGAUCUCAGGUUAGCUCUGCAAUUGUAGCAUAUCACAUAGGGCCUGGGACCCAGGAGGGGCUGAACCGUGGGCUACAAUAAAAUAACAGAGUUUUAGGCCCUGGAGGAGACACAGAAGGAGUAUCAGACACAGUUCCCGCCUUCAAGCAUCUUUUAUGGUUAGUAGAGAAGAGAGAUCUGUCUGUACCUAUGAGACGAUCGAGAACAAGUCUGAGGCGGAAGGCUGGCCAGAUUAGAGAAUCUGUAUCCCUGCAUGAAUUAAGGGGCAAAAGCAAAGGACACCCGUGUUUCCUUUUAGUCUAGCUAAAUAUCCAUCUCUCGAUUUCCAGGAAUUAAGUUGUGAGAACAACAGAGUCAGUAUUUAAAUGCAAGGGUUCCUUCAUCUGUGAAGGUUAUACUCUAUUUUUAUCUUGCACGUGUCCGUAUGUUGCUUAAAACACGACUCCUUGUUUCUUGUUUGUGUGGCUGGUUUCCUCCACUAGACUGUAACUCUGCAUACAGGGCCAACACACUUUCUUCUUUUCCCUGCUUUUAUAGGAUCUCGUACACAGCAAGGCAUACAGCUGAGAAUUCACACAUUCCUGUGGAAUAAAUACGAUUUGUGUAUGUGGGUCUGUGCGUGUUCACGCCUAUGGCGGGCAGGGCGGUUAAGAGGUGUAUUUAGAGUAAAAAUCUGGGCUUACAAAAUCUGGCUCUAGGUAAAUGUUAACUAUUAUAUUUAACUGGAACAUCUAAAUCUUAGGCAUCUUAAUGGGCCUAUUGAAAAGGCUAUAGCUAAGAGACGUAUGAUGAACUCUGUGCUAACUGCAAUUAGCUGCGUCCCUAAGAGUUGUUGUUACUAUACAGAUGGGGGAAGGGGCAUGUGACUGUUACCUUCUAGCUGUCUCAGCUAUCCCUGAGAGAGGAGGAAGGCGGUUCUGUACUCUACAUGGCAUGCAAGAGUACGAAUCCCGAGUGCAGUGAGAUAAAGAAAUGAUUUGGUGUCAUACCCAGUCUCUUCUCUUAUGCUGAGCUAGAAAGAACAGAACUUUCUUUUAAUGACCAAGACAUGAUGCUUCAACUUCGGCCAGACAUUUUCUCCAAGUUUAGCCCGUGCGUCAGAAUUACCUGGGGUGUUUAUACAAAUGCAAAUUCCAGGCUCCCACGCUAGAGCUAGUGAAUCAGAAUUUUUGGAAGUGGACCCAGGAAUGUAUAAUUUCAAUAAGCUGAUUCGUAUCAGCGUGUAAGAUUCUGUGCACACAGAAGUCCAAUUCUGAUACCACUGAGGUUGGGGAAUCUUUGGUGCUAAUGAGAACAGUCAUAGAUUUGAUUUCAAAUGAUUCUGCUAGGAUCCAUUGUGCAAUGUUGGCCACCCACCUGUGUCAUAAGGUCAUGGGGGACACUAGAGAGAGUGUCUGGCCCAACAUGAUCUAUCUCGGCUACAGCUGCUGAGCAAAACAAACAACCCCAGUGCAAAUGGCAGGUAUGUAGUGUGAUCUUGCUAUAAAACGUCAUGUCUUUGCUUAUUAGUAAAUUUCCUUUUUUGAAACUGAAUUAGUUUCUCUGGCCCCAGUUUUCUCAUCUGAAAUGUGAAAUAGAGAAAUGAAUGAUCCCUAAGGCCCCUUUUCAGUUCUAAAAAAUGAUAAUUUUACCAUUUUGUCUUGUAUGAAGCACAUAAUAGCGAAGCUUUUUGUGCACGACCUAUUCUCACUAUAUACCAAAUGAUUGAGAUAGCAAGCCAGCGCAUUAUAUAGGAAGAGUAAGAGCACUGAACUUGAGAGUCAAGAAGCUUAGAUUUUGGCCCUGGCUCAGCAACAUAGGGAAAAUUGUUUAAUGUCUCUGGGCUUCAUUUUUCUACCGUGUAAAAUGACUACUUGAAGUCAGAAAAUUUCAAAAUUCCAUUCCAGAGUGAAUUUCCUCUAGGAAUGAUGAUGAAAUGUCAACAAAAACGAAGAGAAGCUAUUGCCAGCAGCCCUGCUCCAACAGAACCAUGAAAGCAAGUUAUUCAGAUGGAUUGCAAAUACUACCGGAGGGAAACUUGGAACAUCAAGACUGAAGGAAGAGCAACAGAAAUGGUAAAAAUCUGGUGGGUAGAUAUAAUAGAUUCUUUUCCUCCUCUUCAGUUCUUUAAAAUAUGUAUGGUGGUUGAAAGCAAAAAUUAUAAUUAUGGAGUUUUAACACAUGUAGACUUAAUAAUCACUACAACAUAAGGGACCUAUAUGCUGGUAAGGGUUCUAUAUUCCACUCGAAGUGGGGAAAUAUUAACUCUAGGUAGAUUGAAAAGGGUUAAGUUUGUAUAUUUAAUCCCUACCAUGACCACUAAAAAAAAAGAAA